ACAUGCCUACAUCAUAGCGUUAAUGCACCAGAUCCCAUUAGAACUCCACAAUUAAGCGCACUUAUGCUAGAGUAAUACUGGGAUGGGUGACCUCCUGGGAAGUCCUAGUGUUUUACAUGCC
rnacentral:rRNA from 1 species